rnacentral:lncRNA from 1 species
GGAUGCCAAAAAUAUUAUUGUGCUAUAAAAAACAGUAAGUAUAAGGGAUUCAGAUAAUCAAGCAAAUACAAAUAAACUGAUUCAGAGCAAAGGAGAUAGAAUUAGGACAAUAUUUAUAAUAAGAUAGAUAGUCAGUUUGUUUAAUAUGGAGCUCACUGCUUCCCCUACCAAAUGACCAAGGGUAACAAUCUUUGAUUGUCAGCCUCUGCUAUCAUAACUGGAAAGAUUUUCUGUUUUAUUUCUAGCUGCUCUUUUUGCCACUCUCUUUCUGAUGUACUUUUUUUUUUUAGUGUUAAUGAUGCCAUAAUCUGAACUGGUGAAAGAAGAGGAUUUUCCUUUCCCUGCUCUCCUUUUUUCUUAACCCCAAUUACAAGAAAUAGUCGUGGAGUAUAUGAAUUAAUUCCAUGUUGUUUAUCCUUCUCAGGUUCAGGAGCAGAAGUUAUCUUUACAUGAGCUUGGGAAUUUCUGCAGCUGGAAUUAUAGUGCUCCAUGGAGAGGGAAAAUUGCUGGACCUUGAAACAGUUCUAGAUUGCAAAGAAGACACUGCAGUAAAUCCAGUUUUGAAGUACAGCUGAACCAUAUAUUAUUAGCCAAUCUGUAUCCAAUUCCUCUAAGAGUUGACAUUAUGAAGUGAGUUUGCCACAAUUUUCUUUGCAUCAUAAACAGCAAUGUUACUACAAAGUGCUCACUGACCCUUGGCUUUUUCUUAGUUUCUGAUAUGUAGGUUAUCUAGUGACGACUGGUAGAUCACUUCAAUUACUUAGGUUUGAAGCUUUGGGCACUGGGGUUAGAUACACAUUAGGAAUAUAAUAUAGAUCUUUUAGAUAAUCACCAAAAAAUUUCCCUGAUGCAGUCUUGGCUUCAAGUGCUCUGUGGCAGAAAAGACCCAAAGCAUUUACAGGGGAUUUGACUUUUUCAAUUCGUACAUUCCCCGCCCCCCCAAAAAACACAGGAAAUUUUCUUCAUGGUACUAACUUGAAUAUCAAAAAUGACACUUUGCUUUAAAAAACUGUGUGCUUAUCACAGUGUCACAAAGGAAUUGUGUUUAUUUGGGGUAUUUUGUUGAUUUUUUUUUAUUGAAAGAAAGAGGGAAACAAAAAGAAACCAAUUCAAACAAUAACUAAUAUAAAUCACUAAUCAUUUCAAAAUUUAAACCAACAUAGGGAAGUAGAGAGGGAUGUUAUUGUAACUGAGGGCUUUGUAGAAUUUUGUCCUCUUUCAAGGACUCCAGUCCUGUCUCUUUUUAUAUUUGGCUCUGUCUAAUUAAAAAAAAAAACCCUCUCUCUUCUAUUUUUGGUCCUCGGACAACCUUUUGUUUAGAAGUCAUGUCCCUGGAAAAAUAUUUUAAAAGAAAGAAAAAAAUUAUUAAUACCAAAUAUAAAAAAGAAUUCACAACAAAUGAAAAAAAUAAUUAAAUGAAAUUUUCCCUUCUUCCUGAUUAAAAAAACAACUUAAAUGAAAUAAACUAAUACAAAAAUAUAAAACA